rnacentral:rRNA from 1 species
GACGAACACUGGCGGCGUGCCUAAUACAUGCAAGUCGAACGCUUUUUCUUUCACCGGAGCUUGCUCCACCGAAAGAAAAAGAGUGGCGAACGGGUGAGUAACACGUGGGUAACCUGCCCAUCAGAAGGGGAUAACACUUGGAAACAGGUGCUAAUACCGUAUAACACUAUUUUCCGCAUGGAAGAAAGUCGAAAGGCGCUUUUGCGUCACUGAUGGAUGGACCCGCGGUGCAUUAGCUAGUUGGUGAGGUAACGGCUCACCAAGGCAACGAUCCAUAGCGGACCUGAGAGGGUGAUCGGGCACACUGGGACUGAGACACGGCCCAGACUCCUACGGGAGGAAGCAGUAGGGAAUCUUCGGCAAUGGACGAAAGUCUGACCGAGCAACGCCGCGUGAGUGAAGAAGGUUUUCGGAUCGUAAAACUCUGUUGUUAGAGAAGAACAAGGAUGAGAGUAAAACGUUCAUCCCUUGACGGUAUCUAACCAGAAAGCCACGGCUAACUACGUGCCAGCAGCCGCGGUAA